CCACCCCCUCUCGCUCUCUCUCUUUCUCUCUCUCUCUCAAUAUACAGAUGGAGCCAAAAGGAUUUAAACAGUUCUAAAAACAGUCUCAUCGGUACCUUACCUAUUAAUAUCGCAGCCUGUCCCUCCCAGAGAGAGAUUCCCUCAUUAAUGGCGGUUGGUCUUCCUGGUUCGGUAAGACAUGAGUGAGAGGGCAUCACCAUCGUGGGCGAUCCCUUUGUUGGGAGCAGAGAUCUUGAUCUCUAGGGCCCCCCCUCUUCACUUUGAACAAGGGCACCCCAUUUUUAUCCCAGAAAGUCUGUUUUACCCAGGUAUAGUAGUAGCAUAUUUUGGUUCUAGGUUUAGGUUAUUUUGACUUUCUACUGGCUUUCUUGGCUCAAUUGGGCGCCUCCAACAAGUUGGCUGACGAUGAAACUCGAUGCCUCUGGCAUUACAGUUUACAAAAAGAAGAGUGAAAUAAAUGGAGGGGGGAAUUAUGGAUUUAAAUGCUCUGGCCCAGCUUUCUGGUUUGGUAGUCGCAGUUUUUAAUGCUCAUGCAGACCCCCCCUUCAAUUCGCCUCUUAAAUCCCACCCCAGAUAUUCCAACCUCUCUCACACACACCAAAUUCAAAGCUAGCUUUCUUUACCCAUGAGUUUCCCUCUCUAGCUUUCUGGUAUUUUUGGCGUUCUUCUUGCUGGCUUCUAUUUUUCUUCUCUAUAAUUACCAGAUCUUUUCAGUUUGAUCCUCCAAGUACUGGUUUAGUUUUCACAUGUUUCUUUCGUGCGUUCACUUGUUGAAGAUCAAGAGUAUCUCAUCAUCAUGUGAAAUGGCUACUUUGAUAUUGGCCUGGCUCACUCAGACGAAAAAGAUGAACUUUGCGAAACCUCAAGAGUACUGCUGAUCAUCUUUUUUCAUUUCUGAUUGAGCCGUGCCAAUAUCUCAGUGCUCUUUCAUUUCUUUCAGACCAACCGAGAAGAUCACCGAUCAGAUGAUGAUCAUGGGGAAGCCUUUUGCGCGCGCGCACUGAAGAUGGAUGCUAGUCAUGAGAUCAAGUACAAAUCAUAACACUUUUUAGCUAAACUUACGUGCGUAUGCAGCUAGGAAAAGUUAUAAUCGAGUGGGAACUGAGGACUUUUGCCUCGUUUAUUUUGUGAAAGUUAACAAAUUAAACGGCAAGACGCAGAAGCUUUUAGGCUACACGAUAAUCUGCUUGAUAUGAUGAUCGAUCUCAUGAAAUCUUUGGAAUCUUAUAUAUGUAUGUUACUUGUUAUAUAUUAUUAUGCAGCUAAAUCUAUUAAUUAA